rnacentral:tRNA from 1 species
CAUUAGAUGACUGAAAGCAAGUAAUGGUCUCUUAAACCAAAAAAUAGUAAAUUAGCAUCUACUUCUAAUG